rnacentral:rRNA from 1 species
UACGUAGGCAGCAAGCGUUGUUCGGAUUCAUUGGGCGUAAAGGGUGUGUAGGUGGCGCGCUAAGUCGGGUGUGAAAUUUCGGAGCUUAACUCCGAAACUGCAUUCGAUACUGGCGUGCUUGAGGACUGGAGAGGAGACUGGAAUUCAUGGUGUAGCAGUGAAAUGCGUAGAGAUCAUGAGGAAGACCAGUGGCGAAGGCGGGUCUCUGGACAGUUCCUGACACUGAGACACGAAGGCCAGGGGAGCAAACGGG